rnacentral:rRNA from 1 species
GACGAACGCUGACGGCGUGCUUAACACAUGCAAGUCGAACGGGAUCCAUUAGCGCUUUUGUGUUUUUGGUGAGAGUGGCGAACGGGUGAGUAACACGUGAGUAACCUGCCCUUUUCUUUGGGAUAAGCCUGGGAAACUGGGUCUAAUACUGGAUGUUCCGGCUUCCUCGCAUGGGGUUGUUGGGAAAGGUUUUUUCUGGAUUGGGAUGGGCUCGCGGCUUAUCAACUUGUUGGUGGGGUGAUGGCUUACCAAGGCUUUGACGGGUAGCCGGCCUGAGAGGGUGGUCGGUCACACUGGGACUGAGAUACGGCCCAGACUCCUACGGGAGGCAGUUUUUUGGGGAUAUUGCACAAUGGACGGAAGUCUGAUGCAGCGACGUCGUGUGGGGGAUGAAGGCCUUCGGGUUGUAAACUCCUUUCGCCCGCGGAAAAGGCAGGGUUUUGGCCUUGUUGAUGUUAGUGGGUAAAGAAGCGCCGGCUAACCACCUGUCAUUCGCCGCGGUCAAACUUUUAGGCACG